rnacentral:piRNA from 1 species
UGGCCAGCAACACCUGAGUGCCACUGGAUUC